rnacentral:rRNA from 1 species
UACAGAGGUCUCAAGCGUUGUUCGGAUUUAUUGGGCGUAAAGAGCGUGUAGGCGGCCUGGUAGGUCUGCUGUGAAAACUCGAGGCUCAACCUCGAGAUGUCGGCGGAAACCAUCUGGCUAGAGUCCGGAAGAGGAGAGUGGAAUUCCUGGUGUAGCGGUGAAAUGCGCAGAUAUCAGGAAGAACACCUAUGGCGAAGGCAGCUCUCUGGGACGGUACUGACGCUGAGACGCGAAAGCGUGGGGAGCGAACAGG